AUCGCUCCUCGGUCUUUUGGCUAAGAUCAAGUGUAGUAUCUGUUCUUAUCAGUUUAAUAUCUGAUAUGUUCCCUACCUGGGGACCAUAUAUUAAAUUGAUUUUUGGAACUGGGAGAUGAAAUAGGGGCUUGCUCCAUACAUCGGCCUGGUAUUGCAGUACCUCCAGGAGCGGUGCAUCUCCU